AUCUUAUCCGGAGUGGCAGAGGGACUGGCCCUGUGAAGCCACAGCAACCGGCCUGUUCAGAUUACGUCUGAACAUGGUGCAGGUGCUAAUUCCUGUCUCAAGUUUUUGGGAAAAGAUAAGAU
rnacentral:ncRNA from 13 species